ACUGUGUCCAUGACAACCAGAAAAUCCAGAGCAGUGGCUGAUUUUAACCAUCUGGUUCUAUCCUUAUUCUUUAAAUUUCUCUUUUCCUCAAGGGUUAUACUAACUGCUUUAUGAUAAAGGACAGACACACUACUACACAGACAGGCUGAUAGGAAAGUAUCCACGCUGUCUACUGGAAGAGUGUAUUCCACCACAAUGAGAAAGUAAAUCAAGGAAGAGAAAGACAAGGGUCACCCAAAAGAGGAGAUCAACCAUGGGAGAGGCUAAGGUAAUCCUCAGGAUGGUGGAAGAGGAAGAUUCAGGAUGACGGCUGUGCAGACAGAAGCCAUGAGAAAACUUUGGGAGAGUCUUUUUCAGGAAAAAGGAAAUUAUGCGUUCCAGAUGCAUCUGAAUGCACUGAGAGAUUUAAAGAACUGGAGAAGAGUUUGGGGCUGGAUUCAUGUUUACUAGGUAUUUGAAGACACUGGCGACAUUUUGUUUGCAUCUCCAUUAUCCUGUGUAGUGCCUGGCAGGCGGGGGUAUGUUGGGGACAGGUGAACAAAUGAAGAUAUAUACACAUGCAUGUUGCACUAGAAACAGAAAACAGAAUAUUUUCCUAUAUUUAUAUGGAGGAGGAAAACAAAUCCAGGAAGACUUUAUGGCAGAUGUGAUAUUUGAAUAUGGAACUGGAAGUAUACUAAGAAUUUCUCCAGGUGGGCAAAGAUGGGGAGAAUAUGCAAAGCAGGGAGAACGAUUUAUAUAAAAAAGAUGAGCGAGUAGCAUGAUAUCAGUUAGUGUAUCAACAAUAAUGCUGCAUAACAAACCACCCAAAGCUCAGUGGCACCCAACACUAUAUAUAUUUUUACUCAUAGAGUUGCACAUCAGCUGAGAUUGGACUGGCAGGCUGAGUUUUUAACAGGUUCAGAUCUUACCUGCAGUAAAGUCCAAAAGUGUUUCAUCCCCUUUGGACCAAGAACUGUGAUAUAUGAGGCAGGCUCUUCUUGCGACAGAGACGGGAGAGCAAGAAGACAAGCACAUUUCAAGCCUCUAGACAUACCGUAUCCACUAAUAGAAACAUUGGCUAGAAUAAUUUACAUGAACAAGCCCAGCAUCAAUGGGUUGGAGAAUUAUAUUCCUCCUCCACUGGAGGUUGCUGAAAGUGAUUCCUGAAUAAAAGUCUAGAUUUACAAGUGUUGGGCAAUAGCCAUAAAUGCAUAUAACUUUUGGAGACUUUCUAUUUGCAUUUCCCUCAAGAGUAAAAGUUACUCAACCAGAAUGAGCCACAUGGAGCUACUGAACAUUUACAAUGUGUGGCAGGUGUGAUGGAGGAACUGAAUUUUAGUUUUAUUUAAUUUGUACUCAUUUAAAUGUCAUGUGGCUUAUAGCUACCAGAUGGAACAUGCAGCUGUAAACACCACAGUUAAAGCUGAUAUUUUGAUCUGAGGAUUUGUUUUACGAAGUCAUGUCCGAAAUUGUCAUCUUCUGCACAUAUAUUUUUUGUUCUGUCAUGAAUUUUAGGAUUCACUUUUACUAUGUACUUGUUCUUUGUGAAGAUUGGAAAAGACCUUGAGGGCUACGUGGGCCAAAUUAAUUCAAUUCCUGAGCAAAAACUGCCUCCCUGACCACCUCCAGACCUUCUUGCCAAUGUGUGUCUCUGGGAGAAGAAAAGCUAGGAGAGGAUGUGGACCAAUCAAAAUAAAUCCAGCAACAUCAUUAGAAAAAUAACACAAAAAAUAUAAGAAUAAAAGAAAAAAUUCCAAGUGGAUCCCUCUUAUGAUGGUCAUCAGAGGGUCACACAGGAAAAUUAUUUCUCAUCUGAAUAAUCUUGUGUUUUUGCCACAUACAAUUUACAUUUACAAAUUCCACAAAUAUUAUCAUUUCUGGGAAGGAAUAGAACAAUGCUGGCCAAUAAACGGAAAGGCAGCAUGCGUAAGAAUCCUUCCAUACCACUGUUUCAGGACCAAAGUCUAAGAAAGGAGAAAAAUACUAAUAAGAAUGUAGAUUUCCUUCUCUUUCUAAUUUCUUAGUCUCUAUUCUUUAAAGGAAAAAGAGAUGGAGCAGAAAUUGAGAAGAUUGUGCAACAGAAUUUCCAUACCGGAUACACACCGAGUUUCUUACAAAUAAAGACCACAUUGAAGAAGGAAACAUUACACGGGCAAAGUGUAUUUCACAAAAAGGAAAAGGAAUUUCAAAGAGAAAGAAGACAGUCUCUAACAGAGUUCUGAUCAGAAAAAUAACUCUGGAAUUUCUAUAGUUUCCAUUCUGCUUUCUAUCAUAAUUCCAUAUAACUCUCCGGCUCAUUUAGAAGGGAAAAUAUCUAGACUAUUCCAGGCUGAAUACAAUAUUCACAAGGAUUACCAGAAACACAGGAUGUAAAAUCAGUAAUAGCAGUAGCUGGGUUCCUCAUACAAUAAGAAAAAGAGACCAAGAAACCAAUAGGCAAUAAUUUAGAAGUUUGUUAGGAAAUGUGUCCUCUUUACUUUGUCCCUUGAGGCUCUUUGCAAAAGCCAAGAUUCCACAUCUUAAUGUUGCAGCAAUCAACAAGCUUUCAUCCUUAAUUAAAACAAUUAAAUGCCAUUUUCACUUAUCAAAUUGGCAAUCAUUGGGGGAAAAAUGUAAUACCAUGCUGGGGAAUUUAGAACCCCCUUUUCUACGAGUGUAAAGUGGUACAACUACUCUGGCUGCAUGCUUCAGAAGCUUAAAAAUGUGCUUAUCCUUUCCGCAGGAUCUAUCCCUGGCAACUUACUUAGCUGCAAGGAUGUUCUUCCCAGCAAUAUAAUAGAGUGCUAUGCAAAAAUGGUACUGCAUCCUAUAUUGGGUUUCUUUGUUUUUCAGGAUUGUAUUUAUUUAUUGGAGAUAGAAAGAACACAUGAGCUGGAGGGAGGGGGAGAGAGAAUCUGAAGCAGACAUCAUGCUGAGUUACAGAGCCCAAUGCAAGGCUUUAUCUCACCACCUGGAGAUCAUGAGGUCAUGAUGGGAAACCAAGAGCUGGUUGCUUAACUGAUUGAGUCACCCAGGCGCCCCGCAUAAUGGGGUGAGAAGGGAAAGGGUUGCCCCAAGCAAGCAAUUGUGUUAGCAAGAGUGAGAUGGAAAAGGAAAGAAUUACAGGACAGCAAAACAGAAGUGAAGUGAGCCAAGUUUUCCCGAAGUACACUCCAAAAGAGAAGUGGGCCAGUCAAGAGAUACAAAGGCCACAAAAACUCCAGGGCGAGGGCUUAUAUCAAUUUUUUCUUUUAGGUGGGUCCUAGGGUUGCAAUAUCUGAGUGUGUUUGGCCUGGAUUAUGGAAUAAUUAGCCAACUACCCAUAUCCUUUCCCAAGAUGCCUUCAAGAUAUCUCAAGAUUAUUUCUAUUCUAGAGACACAGUUCAGAUGAGGACAAGGGACUGCUUUCUGCAAAAGUGCAGCAAACACAAGAAAUUUAACUCUUCCUCUGCCUGGAUGUUGUGACCACAGACUGACUGCUAAAUGGGUGGGGUUGGGUGGUCCCUCAGUUGAGGCUCCUUGUCAGGACGUCUAAGGUCCAUCCGCCUAUCACUCAUGCCUAGCUCCCUGCCUGAAAAUUACAACUGACAUAAAGCCAACCCUGGUCUCAGUUCUGUCUUAGCAUAAAGCACCAUUCAAAGAAAUAACAGUCCAUCAGAAAACUAAAACAGUUAAAAUCUGUAUAUGCCUCUCAAAAAAAUAGCACAGGACAAGUACACGAAGUUUCUGAAACCAAGAGAGAGAAUAUAAUCUGGGCUAGGGUCUGAUGGUGCAGACUUAGAAUAUUAAUGAACAAGGCACCACUGGAAAUCAUGCCAUGGGCUUUCAGGAAAAGCACAUGUGGUCAGUGCAGCAGGCCUGGAAGCUGAAUCUGGCUGGAAAUACUCAAAGGAAAAAGAGAAGAUUCCAGCUAAGGGAGAAGGCACAAAGGCAGGGCUGCUGAAGACUGGUCUAGCUGCGGGGACCACUAUGACGUGAAUGGUGCUUGCAGAUGUGCUGUGCAAACCAACAUCUGAGAAUAUGGAUCUCCAAAUGCAUGAGGGAGUGACUUGCCUUACAAAAUGAGUGUUUGAAAAGUUCAUAUCUUUUUGACGUGUUUUUACACUUUUGUUCCCCAAAUCAAAUUACAGGCAAAUUUUCAGGAACCUAUCAAAAGCAAGGUCCAUUCACAAUGUACUUGAGAAUAACCUCAAGGGUAAUUAUAGCAUAAACAAAUCAUGUUUGUGUUAGCAGAGAUAGGAGAAGAGAACUCAAGGGGAAAUUUGCUUUCUUUAUAAAUGCUGCUGGGUUUUUUUGUUUUUUUUUUUCAUCUUUUCACCCAUCUUCCCACCCACCUCCCCUCUGGGGACUAUCAAUCUGUUCUCUGAAGUUAAGAGUCUGUUUCUUGGUUUGUCUCUAUUUCCCCCUUUGCUCAUUUGUUUCUUAAAUUCCACAUAUGAGCGAAAUCAUAUGAUACUUGUCUUUCUCUGACUUAUUUUACUUGACAUUCUACUCUCUAGCACCAUCCAUGUUGUUGCAAAUGGCAAGAUACAUUCUUUUUUUUACAGCUGAACAAUAUUUUAUUGUAUAAAAAAUGUUUUAUAUAUUUAAUUAUAUAUAUUAUAUAUAUAUAUAUAU